GAGUAAUUGAGACUGCCAGAUGGCAAGCUGAGGAAUAAGGUGAUUAUAUGGACCUAGGACUAGUAGGCACAGCUCUGAGGAGCAAGUCUGGCUCCUGCAAAGCCCUAGCCAAAUAAAACCUGUGGGUGGGAGUUAAAGAAGGGAAGGUGAGCAGAAACAUUUUGUGGUUGUUUUGGACUUCUGAGUUCUGUUUUUUGGCAAAGUCUGUUCCCAGGCUGUGGAGAACUGGUGAAGUGUGAAUUAAAGGAUGUGAACCUAGAAGAUCACUGGCGAAUGAGUGAGUCCUUCAAGGAGCCUGGUUGAAGGGGAAAUAGAGGACUUUUUCCCUAAAAGGAUUUAGACAGAUCUGGCAAAUCUUAGACUGUAGAGGUUAGAAGUGGUGGAUGUUAAAACUGAAUCCUGAAAGGGAAGAAACCAGAACACUUCCUUAGGUCAUGACUGAUGCCAUCUGGGAAGUAAAGAGAUCCCAUCUAUUUCUGAAGCUUGUAUUUUUUGUGCUUAAAUAAUUAAAAUGCUUAAUUUCAGAAUUUCUCUCUUGCCCUAAUGUAUCAUCUCAUUAGGCAAUCCAAUGUGAAUGACAGAAAGUAAUUCAUUUAAUUGUAUUAACAUUUUUUAUUAUGAAACCACAUUGGAAUUGUGUAUAAUUUGAUAUAUUAAGUUUUCUGUCAUUUAUUUUACUUAAUACUAUUUUCUUUAUCAUUUAUUUGUAUAUUAUCUCUAGUUUGUUUUGAACCAACUCAAAAAUGCAAUAGCUCCAAGUAAAUAAAAAGAAAAUAAAGGUACACUUUCAGGAGACUCUUUAAAAAAAAAAGAAAAAGUAUGCAUAGUCAUACGAGACUAAAUUAUACCAAGUGAAGUGUCUUUUGACUUGUACUUCAAAUGGGGAGAAAA